GAGGGUAUAGCUCAGUGGUAGAGCACAUGCUUAGCAUGCAUGAGGUCCUGGGUUCAAUCUCCAGUAUCUCUC
rfam:Camelus ferus unplaced genomic scaffold scaffold445, whole genome shotgun sequence.